AGUCACAGAUAGUGCUAAGAGGACAGGCUGUUCCAUGAGAAGAUCUUGCCCAUGACAGGCUUGUGCAGAAUGAACAGAGAACAUUCAUUACGUUUAGAACAGAAGAUAUCCUCAUACUUAAUACAAAAAUAAUGUAGAAGAUAUUAUAAAAGGUAAAGAUAAAUUACCAUCGUAGUUCCUACAAGACAGACUUUCAGACAGAUGAACACAGCAUAAAGACUUUCAGAAGUUCUACACUGCUUUAACUGCAGAGAGCGUCAAAGAAAAGAGCAUCCACAAUGGAAGAGGAAGAAGAAGAGGUGAAGUUAGGGGUGACCAAUGAAAAUUCCAUCUAAGUGACUUGGGGCAACACUAUCAUGUACAGUGUUAAUAUACAUUAACACUCAAGGAAGAAUAAAUCUGAUUAUAAUAAUGCCUGCCAUUUAUGGAGAAUCUAUCAACUGAGUGUCUUGGAAUGCUUUGUGAAAUUUAAAUCAAUUCCCACAUCACCCCUCAAAGUCUCAUUCUGUCACCCAGGCUGAAGCACAGUGGCACGAUCUCGGCUCACUGCAACCUCCCCCUCCAGGGUUCAAGCGAUUCUCCUGCCUCAGCCUCCCAGUUCUUUAUCUUCCAGGGCCAGAACUCCAGUGCUUUCUGUGAAGAGUUUCACUUUGACCACAGGCCGAGGAUGGGUGGUGGUGAAAUCUCCUUGAGUCCCCCAUCUGUAAUGAAGUAAAAAAAUGUUUCUUAAAAUGCAGCAUUAUUUUUUUCCCCAAGGAGAUGUGUCUCCAUAGAAGGCAAAUUAAACAAUACAGAAUCUUC